rnacentral:lncRNA from 1 species
GUUAAUAUUAUUUUUGAUAGGAAUUGACCCGCCGGUUGAACUACAGACUCGUUGACUGACCGCAUUGUCCGGGUCGACAUCCGGGUUGAGUCCGAUAACUAUGUCUCCAGGUGCAUCUAAGGUGUCAAAUAUUAACAAUAAUAUUUGAGCAUCUUCCAAAGUAUUUAUCACUAAAUUUAAAAAGAAAUCUCCCAAAAGCUUACUAUAAUUUAAAAGAGCAAUACAAUAUCUUCAAUAAAACUUCUCUUUUGUUUGUAGCUACAAAAUGAUUGUUAUGUAGCUCAAAUCAGCGACGACUUUUUUGUCAACAUAUUUGAUUGUUCUUUUAUAUUAUUUAUACUUUUGGGUGACUUCUUCCUAAACUUAGUAAUGAUUACAUUGGAAGAGACUCAAACUCUAUAUUUCAACGUGAUUUCACAUUGAGAGGUGAUUCUUUAGCUAACAUUUAUUCUAGUAAGUUGUUUUUUCUCAAUUUAUAAACUUAAAUUUCAAAUUUAUUUACAAACACUUCGCACUACUCUUUUACACAGAAAACUCAUUUUCCUUCUCUCUUCUAGGAAAAACUAAAGAUAUAAAAAUAGAAGAUGGAUCAAAGAUUUGGACAUAUGUUUAAGUGAGACCCAGUAAGAUGAUUUUCUUCAUUUUCGAUUUUUGAAAUAUUAUCAUGUUGGUCUGUUAAAUCCUAUGGACAAGAACAAUGAAAAAAUUAGGCAUGAAUGUGCUUUGCCAAUUUAUUUGAAAAUUUCAUUCCCGGUAAAUUUUAUGUCUCAGGUCUAUCGUAAGAGGCAUUCAACUUUCUGCUUGAUGUUAAAAUACGUGGACUUGAAUUAUUUGGGUACUAAUUUUCUACAAAAUAUUGAAGUCGACAAAUAGUAUGGUAUUAAUGAGGCUCAAAUUUUGCUGUUUUUGUCCAAUCCUUUUAUUAUCAUUAAUGUAAUUAUUUAUAUUGCAUUUCCUAAUGUUCUAACCGUUUAUUAUGCUAAUAAAAGAUCUGUUGACCUUUUGAUAUCGGAAAAUAGUCAUGUACAGUACUUGCAAUAUAUAUCCAAGCUAAGUCAUCCAUGUUCCUUCCAACAAAAUUUGUAAUUUGCUCUGAGGUGAAAGCAAGUUUAAUGCACACUCUAAAAGCAUGUGGGUCCUUGAAUAAUGAAAAUUAUAAUUUUGAUUUUGCAAAGGUAUGAUCUUGUUUCACACUAAAAUAUUAACAAUGAUAUAUGCAGUUUUAUGUAUACUUCACUUUGAUUAUUCAAU